rnacentral:rRNA from 1 species
GUCCACGCCCUAAACGAUGGAUACUAGGCGUAAGAGGUAUCGACCCCUCUUGUGCCGCAGCUAACGCACUAAGUAUCCCGCCUGGGGAGUACGGCCGCAAGGUUGAAACUCAAAUGAAUUGACGGGGACCCGCACAAGCGGUGGAGCAUGUGGAUUAAUUCGAUACUAACCGAAGAACCUUACCCAGGUUUGACAUCGAUUGUAAGCCCGAGAGAUCGGGCCCUCCCUCACAAGGGGACAUGAAGACACUUGUUGCAUGGCUGUCGU